UCUCACAGGCGCCAAGCCGGCGUGAGACGUUUUCUGUCACAGUAUCUCACUCCUCUCGGGAUGUAAAAGAUAAUAUUCACUGCUUCAUUUGACCGUAAAGAUAAUCGUUAUGUAUCACUUUAUUGUGGAUAGUGUUAUAUACAUUGACUAAGCAUUCUUGUUCAUUUAAAUAUAACCCUGCCACGGAUACGUGCGCGCCUCGCUCAAAGUGAACACACGGUUAGACCCGCAUUUUGGACUCCUGCGUCUUCCUCCGAAUUAGUGUUUACGCUUCGAAGUUACAAAACGAAAAGAGAUUCGAGGGGCGGCGCUGUAUGCCGGACGCCAACAAGGUUCAGGUGGGACUCUAUAGAUAGGAGGGAAGGUGUGUGGUUGGCGAAACUGAAGUUAGGACACACACGUUUGCAAUCUGCUUUGGCACGCUUGUCGCACGCGGUGUUACAGCGACUUCUAGGUACAACGUUGCCUCAGGAAAGCAGCUUCCAUCGUCUCGGCCCGAAACGUCGACCGUUCUUUUCUCCCCCGCAGACGCCGCCCGGCCUGCUGAGCUCCCCCGGCAUUUUGUGUGUGUUGCUCGGAUUUCCAGUGUCGGCAGACUUUGUGAUUUGAUCCAUCGUCAAAGGUCACCAGCAGCCAGGCCGUGCUCUUUUCUCGCUGCUGCCAUCAGGCAGAAGAACAGAUACUACCCGUCAACCAUCAGGCUCGUGCACAAAAGGAAACAACUACACUCAUUCUAGUCCUGGUGUUCCCACAGCCGAUGGUCUCACUUUAAGGACUCUUUCUCAUUACUUAUUGCUAUUUAUUUAUAUUUGCAUUUGCACAGUCCAUUGAUCCUGUUCACAGUUACUGCUCUAUAGAUUUGCUGACUAUGCCCGCAGGAAGAUGAAUCUCAGGGAUGUUAUGUGGUGGCAUGUAUAAUAAAUUUUACUUUGAACAUUGAACUUUUGUUCUCCCCCUGCUGGUGGAAAUUUGCUAUAGCAGGUAAUGCUUUAUCACAUGACCCGCGUGCUGCCAUAGAGUAUUUUGAUUGGUGGAUUCUUGCCUCAAGGAUGUGAUGUUAUCCGGACUAUAAAGGUGGUGGAUUUUUUUUGCAAAAGCACCAUCUCUAGUCCCCUUUCUUCUUUUUUAUACCUUUUCCCCUUCGUACUCUGUCAGCUCCUCACUUAGUUUCGCAUGGUCCGUGUCUGUCGUGAAGGAUCGAAGUUGUUCCUUCAUUCUGGAGCGCCUAAGUCAGAGAACCUGGGGAUUGGAAAUUGGCGAGAUCUGACAUCGGUGAUGGGGUGUGUACGCUGUGGAAAAGGCCCUUUGAUCCAUCCCGUCUGU